rnacentral:rRNA from 1 species
CAGCCGCCACGGGAAUACGUAGGUGGCAAGCGUUGUCCGGAAUUAUUGGGCGUAAAGGGCUCGCAGGCGGUUUCUUAAGUCUGAUGUGAAAGCCCCCGGCUCAACCGGGGAGGGUCAUUGGAAACUGGGAAACUUGAGUGCAGAAGAGGAAAGUGGAAUUCCAUGUGUAGCGGUGAAAUGCGCAGAGAUAUGGAGGAACACCAGUGGCGAAGGCGACUUUCUGGUCUGUAACUGACGCUGAUGUGCGAAAGCGUGGGGAUCAAACAGGAUUAGAUACCCCUGUAGUCCCUGUCUCUUAUAC